AAAAAAGAAAAAAAAGAAAGAAAGAAAAAAAAAGGGCCCCUCAUUGGCUGGGGCCUCCUUCAGUUCCUUGCCUCUAUGGAGGGACCUCUGCAUAGAGCAUCUCACAACAUGGUACCCAGCUUCCAUCAGAGCAAGCAAGGAAGGGCGCCCACAAAGGAAGACAAUCUCAUUAUAACUUAAUCUUGGAAAUUAAAGCAAGCAAGAGCAUCCACAAAGGAAGACAAUCUCAUUAUAACUUAAUCUUGGAAAAGUCUUGUCACUUUUGCCAUAUUCUCUUUGUUAGAAAGGAGUUACUAGGUCCAGCCCAUACUCAAAGAAAGAGGAUACUCAAAGAAGCCCAGGAAAUUCAGACUACUGGGGACCAUCAAAGAGGCUGCAUACCACAGCUGCCUUCUCAAUAAGAGGAGGUCCCGUAUUUUCAUUUUGCACUGGUCUCAGCGAAUUACACAGCCAGCAAUGACCACAACCAGUCCUCCAUCCUUCUGCUGGGAAGUUGGAUGCUAGAGCUCUUGCAGCCACACUGGGCCAUGAAGACAAAGGUCACCCCCUAGGAAUGAUAGAGCAAAAGGCUGGAAGGAACCUGGAUCCCUGAUCUCUGUGGAGCCACUGAACUGCCUCUAAUGAAGGAAAACAUUUCUCUCUCAUUUAUGCUGCAUGUUCUUUUCGAUUUUAUGCUAUGUUUAGUGGAGUAUAAUCCUAAUUUGAUACAAUUGCCAACUUUUAAAAAUUAGGAAAUUUCACACAAAUAUUCAGCUCUCUGGCUUUUCUCUUGAAAAUUUGGUGCAUCUGACAAAACUUGAGGUCAUGCUUUCCAUUGCAGCAAUUGACCUGGCAGAAUAAUGGAUGCCUGCUUCAGACAGGGCUGGAGACCCCACCAAUUUUUUUUUUCCCUUCAUUUAGACUGGGGAGUGGGGCAAGAUGGAAAAACUGUGGAUGCCUACUUUAUAACUGUCUUUCUCCCUGCAUCCUUUUUAGCAAGAACAUUUCAACAUUGAUGUAGUCUACAAGGGAAGAUACUGUGAGAGGAGAAAGGAAGAAACCCUUCAGGCAUCAGUUAGGGUGGGUCUUUGGUUAAAUUCUUUCAAACAAAAGAAUGGCCUGAAAAAAUCAAGCUGCAGGCACAGAUAAGGAGAUCUGCACAGAGGGCCUUCCUAAGACAUUCCAACAGCCGCACAGAUAUAAAAGCCUACAGAGAUGACUUGCCCAGAUAUGCAUGCAGUGGAAAAUUCCAUCCCCUAACACAUGCGCAGUAAGGGGAACAAAGCAAUACGGAGUAAAACUUUAGCUAAGGGCCCACACUCACACUAGAAGGAUGAGGUGGAGUUACCAGAAAUUCAUAUCUUAUGCAAAUGAGAUGCCCAGUCCUCACCAGUUUCUUAUAAAAGCCUUUGCGGUCACCUGUAAAAACAGCAACCCUCUUCUGGGUCCGCUCGCCACCGUGGAGAGCUUUCUUCCUUUGCUUAUUAAACUUUCGCUGCAACUUCACCCUUUGCAUCCACGCUCCUUAAUUUUCUUGGUCAUGAGAUGAAGAACUCCAGGUGAUACCUCACAAUGAGAGACUGCUACAUUAUGGUGCACUGGUGAAAAUGUAACAUUUCUGAUGGUGGUGGAAGCAGAGGCCAUCCUUUGCCGUUUCAUGCCCAAUUCUGUAGGCCUGCCUCAGGGAGAAGGGGUGCACAGGUCUCAGCAUCCAUAGACUUCAUGGCGGUGAAGUUCUACUCUCAAGGUUUGGGAAGAGGGAAUGAGAGGGUCUUCUACUCCAUGGCUGCAACUUUUUCUCAUUUUAAAGAUCCUCAUCUAGUCUAAUGGAUUUAUAUUUCUCUGGCUGAUGUAAUUUUGACCCUACUUCUUGGUAAUAUCCAAGCCUUAAUUUGACGAAAGAGUAUCACCCCCACCUAAUUUCCAACCACCUCUCUGCCCUGAGUAGCUUCAUCAAACUUCACACUUUGACUUGACAAUGGAGAGAGGAUUUCCCCUAACCUGGGGGAGGAUGGAGAAGAUGGAGGGGAUGGUGGGUGGAGCCUCAGUUGCUGUCAGACCUAAACCAGACUUGGCAAUAAUUGGGGGAGAUGGAGUACCCUGGGUUGAAGGAUUCUUGGUGAGUUACAGACCCAUUAUUGUCUUUGGCUGUAAAUGAACUCAAGGUCGCUAGGAAGUGAGCAGAAAGUCAGAUGAACUCUGUCUCUCAGAGGCAGGCCAAGGGCAAAGAAGGCACAGAAGCCACUUCAAAACUGCUCAGGCCUUUUGGGAGGAAGGAGUGGGUAGGGAAUGGUACGGAAUGAGGCUGACUUUCAAAGAUGAAGCUGUGACAGAUCAGAAAUCUGUAUUUUUGAGCCAGACUAUGUCUGUGUCUAGAUUUGCCUUUGUCUUUUUGUUGUCAGAAUUUCAUUAAACUAAUUCUUCAUUCAUGUAUGAGUGUUUUCUACUGCCAGGCACUCUUUAGACAAGAUUCUAACCCCAAUGACAGUUACGUUUUAGUUGCUAAUACAGAUAAUAAAUAUAAGAAGUAAACAAAGGCCAGGCAUGCUGGCUCACACCUGUAAUCCCAGCACUUUAGGAGGCCAAGGAGGGUGGAUCAUUUGAGGUCAAGAGUUCAAAACCAGCCUGGCCAGUAUGGUGAAAUCUUGUCUUCACUAA